UGAGCUUGAUCCCUGGCUCAGAGCGAACGCUGGCGGCAGGCCUAACACAUGCAAGUCGAACGGACUCUUCGGAGUUAGUGGCGGACGGGUGAGUAACACGUGGGAACGUGCCUUUAGGUUCGGAAUAGCUCCUGGAAACGGGUGGUAAUGCCGAAUGUGCCCUUCGGGGGAAAGAUUUAUCGCCUUUAGAGCGGCCCGCGUCUGAUUAGCUAGUUGGUGAGGUAAAGGCUCACCAAGGCGACGAUCAGUAGCUGGUCUGAGAGGAUGACCAGCCACAUUGGGACUGAGACACGGCCCAAACUCCUACGGGAGGCAGCAGUGGGGAAUCUUGCGCAAUGGGCGAAAGCCUGACGCAGCCAUGCCGCGUGAAUGAUGAAGGUCUUAGGAUUGUAAAAUUCUUUCACCGGGGACGAUAAUGACGGUACCCGGAGAAGAAGCCCCCGGCUAACU
rnacentral:rRNA from 1 species